rnacentral:rRNA from 1 species
AUUGAACGCUGGCGGCAGGCCUAACACAUGCAAGUCGAGCGGAUGAAGGGGGCUUGCUCCUGGAUUCAGCGGCGGACGGGUGAGUAAUGCCUAGGAAUCUGCCUGGUAGUGGGGGAUAACGUCCGGAAACGGGCGCUAAUACCGCAUACGUCCUGAGGGAGAAAGUGGGGGAUCUUCGGACCUCACGCUAUCAGAUGAGCCUAGGUCGGAUUAGCUAGUUGGUGGGGUAAAGGCCUACCAAGGCGACGAUCCGUAACUGGUCUGAGAGGAUGAUCAGUCACACUGGAACUGAGACACGGUCCAGACUCCUACGGGAGGCAGCAGUGGGGAAUAUUGGACAAAGGGCGAAAGCCUGAUCCAGCCAUGCCGCGUGUGUGAAGAAGGUCUUCGGAUUGUAAAGCACUUUAAGUUGGGAGGAAGGGCAGUAAGUUAAUACCUUGCUGUUUUGACGUUACCAACAGAAUAAGCACCGGCUAACUUCGUG